GACGAACGCUGGCGGCGUGCUUAACACAUGCAAGUCGUACGGUAAGGCCCUUUCGGGGGUCCACGAGUGGCGCACGGGUGAGUAACACGUGAGUAACCUGCCCACAACUUUGGGAUAACGCUAGGAAACUGGUGCUAAUACUGGAUAUGUGCUCCUGCUGCAUGGUGGGGGUUGGAAAGCUCCGGCGGUUGUGGAUGGACUCGCGGCCUAUCAGCUUGUUGGUGGGGUAGUGGCCUACCAAGGCGGCGACGGGUAGCCGGCCUGAGAGGGUGACCGGCCACAUUGGGACUGAGAUACGGCCCAGACUCCUACGGGAGGCAGCAGGGGGGAAUAUUGCACAAUGGGCGCAAGCCUGAUGCAGCAACGCCGCGUGCGGGAUGACGGCCUUCGGGUUGUAAACCGCUUUCAGCAGGGACGAAGCUUUUUGUGACGGUACCUGCAGAAGAAGCACCGGCUAACUACGUG
rnacentral:rRNA from 1 species